rnacentral:tRNA from 1 species
GCCUCGAUGGUGAAAUUGGUAAACACAGGGGACUUAAAAUCCCCCGUCGCAAGACUUAGCGGUUCAAGUCCGCUUCGAGGCACCA